UGGGGAAUAUUGGACAAUGGGGGCAACCCUGAUCCAGCCAUGCCGCGUGAGUGAUGAAGGCCUUCGGGUUGUAAAGCUCUUUUGGCAGGGACGAUGAUGACGGUACCCGCAGAAUAAGCCCCGGCUAACUUCGUGCCAGCAGCCGCGGUAAGACGAAGGGGGCAAGCGUUGUUCGGAAUUACUGGGCGUAAAGGGCGCGUAGGCGGUUUGCUUAGUCAGGCGUGAAAGCCCUGGGCUUAACCUGGGAUGUGCGCUUGAUACUGGCAGGCUUGAGUGUGGGAGAGGUUGGUGGAAUUCCCAGUGUAGAGGUGAAAUUCGUAGAUAUUGGGAAGAACACCGGUGGCGAAGGCGGCCAACUGGACCACAACUGACGCUGAGGCGCGAAAGCGUGGGGAGCAAACA
rnacentral:rRNA from 1 species